rnacentral:rRNA from 1 species
UACGGAGGGGGCUAGCGUUGUUCGGAAUUACUGGGCGUAAAGCGCACGUAGGCGGCUUUCUAAGUCGGGGGUGAAAUCCUGGAGCUCAACUCCAGAACUGCCUUCGAUACUGGAAAGCUCGAGUCCGGGAGAGGUGAGUGGAACUGCGAGUGUAGAGGUGAAAUUCGUAGAUAUUCGCAAGAACACCAGUGGCGAAGACGGCUCACUGGCCCGGUACUGACGCUGAGGUGCGAAAGCGUGGGGAGCAAACAGG